UCCAGGUCAACCCAACUACACAUCAACUCACGGUACACUCAUGGUCAACCUGACUCCACUUUUCUCUCAUAGGUACCCCUCAGGGAUGACCCGACUUCAUCAUGGUUCUGGGGUACGGUUGAAGUAUCCUUGUGUUUAUAAUCAUCAAGGGGGAAAUCCGAGGAUUCACCCCCGAUGGAUUUCUACUCAAUGGUCCAUAACAUCAAGGGGGAAUAUGAGUAAUUGAUACGUCUCCAAUGUAUCUAUAAUUUUUAUUGUUCCAUGCUAUUAUAUUAUAUGUUUUGGAUGUUUAAUAUGCAUUUAUAUGUUAUUUUAUAUUAUUUUUGGGAGUAACUAUUAACCGAGGGCCCAGUGCCAGUUUCUAUUUUUUGCCUGUUUUAGUGUUUCAUAGAAAAGAAAUACCAAACGGAGUCCAAACGGAAUGAAACUUUCGCAAUGAUCUUUCUUGGACCAGAAGCAAACUAGGAGACUUGGAGAUGAAGUUGGAGACUCAACGAGGCGGCCACAAGGGUGGAGGGUGCGCCCCUACCUCGUGGGCCCCUCGGAGCUCUCUUGACCUAGUUCCUUCGCCUAUAUAUACUCUUAUACCCCAAAAACAUCAGGGGGAGCCACGAAAACACUUUUCCACCGCCGCAACCUUCUGUGCCCGUGAGAUCCCAUCUAGGGGCCUUUUCCGGCAUACUGUCGGAGGGGGAUUUGAUCAUGGAGGGCUUCUACAUCAACACCAUUACCCUUCCGAUGAAGCAUGAGUUGUUUACCUUAGAACUACGGGUCCACUUGAGUGAGACCGAGGAGAGUGGAAUUUCGUGUGUAGGGGUGAAAUCCGUAGAUCUACGAAGGAAUGCCAAAAGCGAAGGCAGCUCUCUAGGUACCUACUGAUGCUGGGGUGCAAAAGCAUGGGGAGCGAACAGGAUUAGAUACCCUGGUAGUACAUGCCAUAAACGAUGAGUGUUCUCCCUUGGUCUGCGCGGAUCAGGGGCCCAGCUAACGCGUGAAACACUCCGCCUGGGGAGUACGGUCGCAAGACCGGAACUCAAAGGAAUUGACGGGGGCCUGCACAAGCGGUGGAGCAUGUGGUUUAAUUUGAUACAACGCGCAAAACCAUACCAACCCUUGACAUAUGAACAACAAAACCUGUCCUUAACAGGAUGGUACUGACUUUCAUACAGGUGCUGCAUGGCUGUCGUCAGCUCAUGUAGUGAGAUGUUUGGUCAAGUCUUAUAACGAGUGACACCCUCGUUUUGUGUUGCUGAGACAUGCGCCUAAGGAGAAAUUGCCACCGAGUGAUGUGCCAAAGCUACUACUUGAUUGAGUGCCAGCACGUAGCUGUGCUUUCAGCAAGAAUUUCACCAUUGGGAGCCGGUGCCUUUCGAAGCACUUUCACGUGUGAACCGAAGUCGUCUUGCCGAAGACCCACGGAGACCUACCUAUAGUGACAUCAAAGUACCAAUGAGCAUGGAGGUUUGGUUGAAAUUGGUUAUGAUGAUGUCGAGUUGGCGGCGGAGGAAGACUCGGCAUGAAGGCCAGAAAAUGGUGUGGAACAUAGUGGUAAUAGUACGCGCCCCGCUCUAAAACAAAGAAAAAGGUGCUUGCUGCACUCACGAGGGACUGCUAGUGAGAUACUAGAGGAAGGUGGGGAUGACGUCAAGUCUGCAUGGCCCUUCUGGGUUGGGCCACACACAUGCUACAAAUGCAAUGACAAUGGGAAGCAAGGCUGUAAGGCGGAGCAAAUCUGGAAAGAUUGCCUCAGUUUGGAUUGUUCUCUGCAACUCGGGAACAUGAAGUUGAAAUCGCUAGUAACCGCGGAUCAGCAUGCCGCGGUGAAUAUGUACCCGGGCCCUGUACACACCGCCCAUCACACCCUAGGAAUUGGUUUCGCCCGAAGCAUCGGACCAAUGAUCACCCAUGACUUCUGUGUACCACUAGUGCCACAAAGGCCUUUGGUGGUCUUAUUGGCGCAUACCAUGGUGCGGUCUUUGACUGGGGUGAAGUCAUAACAAGGUAGCCGUAGGGGAACCUAUGGCUG
rnacentral:rRNA from 1 species